rnacentral:rRNA from 1 species
CAAUAGCGUAUAUUAAAGUUGUUGCAGUUAAAAAGCUCGUAGUUGGAUUUCUGGUGGGAGCGAUCGGUCUGGCGCUUAGCGCGAGUACUUGCAUCGUCUCCGGCCAUCCUUGGGGAGAGUCUGUCUGGCAUUAGGUUGUCGGGCAGAGGAUCCUCAUCGUUUACUGUGAAAAAAUUAGAGUGUUCAAAGCAGGCUUAUGCCGUUGAAUAUAUUAGCAUGGAAUAAUAAGAUAGGACUUUGGUACUAUUUUGUUGGUUUGCGCACCAAAGUAAUGAUUAAUAGGGACAGUUGGGGGUAUUCGUAUUCCGUUGUCAGAGGUGAAAUUCUUGGAUUUACGGAAGACGAACUACUGCGAAAGCAUUUACCAAGGAUGUUUNCAUUAG